UUGUAUACUUAUAUUUUUAUUGUUGUUUAAUGCUUAGAACCAAGUACAUGGGAUUUGGGAUGUAAGCUAGCAACUGCUAAAUAGGGAAGGAAGGAAUUUCCUGUCACUUCGAGGUAUUUACUAUUUUUAGAAGAAUAUAUAUUUAAGAAUGAAUAAGUGCUUUGUAGAAGAUAAAGUAAUGAGGUGUAUGCAGCUAUCUUUUUUGGUAUCUGUGAAUAGUGUGUAUUGCCUUGCAUAUGUUUAAGGUUGAAGGUAAUGUUCACACAGAAUAACAUUGACAUGUUAAGGAACAAAGCAUUGAAUUUCUAUUCAAAUAUCUAAAAUUUCCCGUCAGCAUCAUCCCAUUCUCAUCUACUUUCCAGGCUAAUGAGAUAAUUUGAAUGAAAUCAUUUUCUUGAUGCCUAGGAGGCACUUACUCUCUGUGUAUGCACAAACAUUAGGUCAAAGAAAGGGGUUUGGUUUUGGCUUGGUUAGAACUUUAAAGAUGAGUAACAAGAGCUUUCUUUUCUAAUUUAGGCAAGCCCUCAUGUCUUACAGACAGUAGAGUUGCUUCACCCAUAUACAACUUUACGUUCAUAUUGCAACAGGGUCUUUUAACAGAUUCAACCCUUCAGGGCUGGCUUACUCAAGUGAAAACCAAGCUGUACCUUUAGAUUCUGUUUGCAGGUGAGGACAUAAAACAAGCGAGUUACUACUUAGACAAUCGGGGAAUCAUCCGUAUCUUAGCUUGCGUAAGCAUUCCAACCUGGCAAUGAACCACCGUGGUCUACACUGCAGGUCUACACCCAUCCCCUUCCUUGUAGGUAAACCAAAGUCCAUUGUCAGAAAAAAUCCUGGUGAGACUAACUAGCUUCUGGAGUCUUCUUUCUCUUCUGUUAAGGAGAGAUUUACAGUUUCUACUACAGAUAUGUUGGAAGCAUAUGCACAAGAAAUGGGUAACAAAAACUAAGGAAUAUUUUAUACCUCUAAUACCUGUCUCUGGCCUCCUGAGACUUCUACAGUUCGUUAUCAUGUCUUCUCAUGGCUGCUCAUCAGGGGAUGGUGCUGUGACAAACACAGGCCACAGCACACCAGGUAAUGCACUUAGAUAAUGAACACAUGGCUUUCUACACAACUUCGUCCUGUCCAACUAGUCCAAACUGGAAAAUGGAGGCAAUGACAUUCUAGUGCUCAAAACAAGGCCUUGCUUGGAUAGAUAAGAAAAUCAUGGUUUUUUUUUUCACAAUCGCCUGGCAGUUUCAUGUAAUUGCAUUUACUCUUAGCUUUUAGUGUGUGUUUCUAGGGUAAGAAUUCCUAACAUGGACAUCCCCCUCUCUUUUUUAAUGAAAAUUCCUUCCUAGUACCUGAUAGAAGUUUCGGAGUACAUACUCUAUCCGACUAAAUGAUCAUUUGUGAGGUAAGACAAGGUAAAUGGCCAACAAACUAGGUUGGUGUCACUUAUCAAUGGCAUAUCCAUAAGUUUUAGAUUUUUUUAUUCCUCCAUGAUUUUUUAAACCAAGAAUUAAAAACAAAUAUGGCUACAGACCAACCCCAAAGGGGCUGAUUUGUUUAUUAUCCCCAUGAAGAUUCAGAAGUGUUCCGGCAUGUGCAUCCUUUACUCUAAGGAAUCUAUGCCGUGUUGAAGAAUCCACAACACUGACUCCUAAAUACCACACUCAUCUUCUUUACCCGGAGGCUUUAUUCUCUUUAAAAAACAGUAAGACAAAAUUAUGUGGGAUGUUCCCAGUACAAAAAUCUCUGCUGGAAUGCAUGUGGGUGGGCAGCCAUAAACCAGUUAAGAAGAUGCCGGUAAUGUGUGUAAAAAAAUAUGAAUAUUGCGGUAAAAAGUAUAUUCCCCAAAGGUAGUUCUUAAAUGAAAUACUUAAAUCUUACAACUUUGGGUCACCACCUGUCCAGCUUUGGAUGAGACCAGGUCAAGGGACCCCUGGCUGCUUUGGAGUUUCCUCUUCCUUUACAGGGAAGAGAUAUGAAGAUACGGGAAGGUGGUGAAUAUUCCGAGAUUUGCAAAAGCUUUAUGUGUGUGAGUAUAACCACUGGAGGGAAGUUCCAGUGAAUAUUGUACUUUCCAAGUCCAAAGGUCCACAGGGCAUGGUCUCUAUUUGUAUGCAAGGCCAAGAGCUCACGCUGGUUUUCAGACUGCAGGGAGGAAGAGCGAGAAUGGGAGCGGCGUGUGCUGCCCUGAAACCCAAGCAUGAAGUCUCUGGACAGGGAGACAACUUCACACUGAACUUUGAAUAAAGACUCCCUCCAGAUUGCACCAUGGAACAGUGGCCUGGGCUCACUGGAGUCUUCUCUUCAGGGUCUUUAGAUUCUUUUCUGGGGUGAAAUGAGAAGCUACUGUUAUCGGACUUUGUGAGGUAAAUUGGUCUCAACUUUGAGAGACUUAAACCCAUCCAUGAUAUGCUUUCCAAAGAAGAGUGACACAGAAGUCACACAGCAAAGCUCCUGUCACUGCCAUUGUCUUGUUUCUCUGUGUGACUAGCCAUGAAAAUGUCAAAUCAAAGUAUGUUUACAUUUGAUUCUUGACCCACUGGAUUGCCUCCCGUUCUGCAUGAUUCCAUGGUCUUACCAGAUCUUUACUGAAAAUGCACACUAGAACAAGUGGCUAAAUUCCCAUCUAGGGGAGUAAAAUGUUGGAGAGUCAGGCUGGGAUAUUUCCUAGUACUUUGCAGUGUGCUAGAGUAACAAGGAA
ensembl:lncRNA